UUGGGUUUCACCAAAACCGAAGUUUCUACACACUUUGAUCAAUCACUUCUCUUGAUUCUCACACAUUCAAGCCUUGUUCUUACCUUGUUCUUGAGAUUUUGUGGAAUUGUAUAGUGAUUUGGGUUCUAGAAACCGAAAUCCCUAUACUUUGAAGCAUUUCUCUUCUCAUAUAGCAUCUAGGAGACAAGGGAGCCAUCUUGUGCUUUUGGUUUGGCUCCAAAAAGAGUCAAACCCGUGGGUAUAUCACUUGUUCUCCACUCUUUGCUCUCUUUUAUUUGUUAUUUAUGAUGUUCAUGGCUUGUAGUUGUGUAAAUAUGAGUUGUGAGUAGUUUAAUUUGGGGCUAGGGCACAGCCUUAGCCAAACUUGUGCACAAAACAAUGUAAUCUUUAUGCUAUUUGAUGUUUAUGCAUGUUUUGAAUCUUUUGGCUACUAUACUUUAAUGUGUCCUAAGUGUGUUCAUAGAUUUAUCACCUAGAAGCAUGCUUUAGGAACAUGUUUAAUUUAUCACCUAGAAGCAUGCUUUAGGAAGUUAAUGAAUCGGAAACAUGAACUUGAUAAACUCUUGAUUCCGUGAGCAUAUGUAGCUAAAUAGGUGGUGACUUAGCUUAUUCCUACGGGAAGAACUAAGUUGCUUGAAUUUCUUACCUUGAAAUUAAAGCAUGAUGUUGUGAGUUUAGGUUCCGGAAGAAUUUAGGCUCAUGGCACCAUAGGCCAUUUAUAAUCCGGAAGAUUUGAAUGGUAUAAAGGUUGUGUAAUUUAGCUUUGCUUUGGAAGAGAUUGUUAAAUUGCAUGACUAGUUGGUUUCUUGGUAGCUUCAUCAAAGCACUAAGGGGGAAUUUAUCAAAACAUGUUGUUACAUUAAAUUUGGGUUACAUUGUGUGCAUGAGUAAGGCUAGGUGUGAUGCCUAAGCCUCUAUUUCUCUCUUAUAUCAAAAUCUCUAUUUUUAUUUGCAUACUUUAUUUUUGUGUACUUUUAAUUUAUUCGCAUAAAAAUUAAAAUCAAUCAAGCCGUUCACUACCAUAAUUGUUAAUACCAUCCUCAUGAUCUUUAGCUUCCAAAGGGCUAAGGUUGUGACUUUGUAAAAAGGUAGAUUGCAUAAUUUUUCUAGGCUUUCUUGCGGUAAUCUAGCUAGGGUGGAGUUUCCCUCAAUCCCUUGGGUACGAUACUCUACACUUUCCCUAACUAAAACUUGACCUUCUACACUUGGAAGUAAGGAACAUCAUACACAAAUUUGCACACACUUUCAUACUCAAUGAUGUCGCC
rnacentral:lncRNA from 1 species